UACGUAGGGGGCUAGCGUUGUUCGGAAUUACUGGGCGUAAAGCGCUCGUAGGCGGACUUGUGAGUCAGAGGUGAAAUCCCGAAGCUUAACUUCGGAACUGCCUUUGAUACUGCAAGUCUUGAGGAUGAGAGAGGUAAGUGGAACUGCGAGUGUAGAGGUGAAAUUCGUAGAUAUUCGCAAGAACACCAGUGGCGAAGGCGGCUUACUGGCUCAUUUCUGACGCUGAGGUGCGAAAGCGUGGGGAGCAAACAGG
rnacentral:rRNA from 1 species